rnacentral:rRNA from 1 species
UACGGAGGGAGCUAGCGUUGUUCGGAAUUACUGGGCGUAAAGCGCGCGUAGGCGGCUUUGUAAGUUAGAGGUGAAAGCCCGGAGCUCAACUCCGGAACUGCCUUUAAAACUGCAUCGCUUGAAUCCAGGAGAGGUGAGUGGAAUUCCGAGUGUAGAGGUGAAAUUCGUAGAUAUUCGCAAGAACACCAGUGGCGAAGGCGGCUCACUGGCCCAUAACUGACGCUGAGGCACGAAAGCGUGGGGAGCAAACAGG